UACGUAGGGGGCGAGCGUUGUCCGGAUUUAUUGGGCGUAAAGAGCGUGUAGGCGGCCAGGUAGGUCUGCUGUGAAAACUCGAGGCUCAACCUCGAGACGUCGGCGGAAACCAUCUGGCUAGAGUCCGGAAGAGGAGAGUGGAAUUCCUGGUGUAGCGGUGAAAUGCGCAGAUAUCAGGAAGAACACCAGUGGCGAAGGCGGUGCUCUGGGCCGGUACUGACGCUGAGGAGCGAAAGCGUGGGUAGCAAACAGG
rnacentral:rRNA from 1 species